CAGUAGCCACGGGAAUACGUAGGUGGCAAGCGUUGUCCGGAAUUAUUGGGCGUAAAGGGCUCGCAGGCGGUUUCUUAAGUCUGAUGUGAAAGCCCCCGGCUCAACCGGGGAGGGUCAUUGGAAACUAGGAAACUUGAGUGCAGAAGAGGAGAGUGGAAUCCCACGUGUAGCGGUGAAAUGCGUAGAGAUGUGGAGGAACACCAGUGGCGAAGGCGACUCUCUGGUCUGUAACUGACGCUGAGGAGCGAAAGCGUGGGGAGCGAACAGGAUUAGAGACCCCCGUAGUCCCUGUCUCUUAUAA
rnacentral:rRNA from 1 species